rnacentral:rRNA from 1 species
CCUACGGGCGGCAGCAGUGGGGGAUAUUGCACAAUGGGGGAAACCCUGAUGCAGCGACGCCGCGUGGGUGAAGAAGUAUUUCGGUAUGUAAAGCCCUAUCAGCAGGGAAGAAAGAAGACGGUACCUGACUAAGAAGCCCCGGCUAACUACGUGCCAGCAGCCGCGGUAAUACGGAGGGGGCGAGCGUUAUCCGGAUUCACUGGGUGUAAAGGGAGCGUAGACGGCCGUGCAAGCCAGGAGUGAAAGCCCGGGGCCCAACCCCGGGACUGCUCUUGGAACUGUGCGGCUGGAGUGCGGGAGGGGCAGGCGGAAUUCCUGGUGUAGCGGUGAAAUGCGUAGAUAUCAGGAGGAACACCGGCGGCGAAGGCGGCCUGCUGGACCGCGACUGACGUUGAGGCUCGAAAGCGUGGGGAGCGAACAGGAUUAGAUACCCUUGUAGUC